rnacentral:tRNA from 1 species
CUUUAGCUCAGUUGGUAGAGCGUCUGAUUCGUAAUCAGAAGGCCGUGGGUUCGAUCCCCAUA